GAUGAAGAACGCAGCGAAAUGCGAUAAGUAGUGUGAAUUGCAGAAUUCAGUGAAUCAUCGAAUCUUUGAACACACAUUGCGCCCCUUGGUAUUCCAUGGGGCAUGCCUGUUCGAGCGUCAUUUGUACCUUCAAGCUUUGCUUGGUGUUGGGUGUUUGUCCCGAGGGACUCGCCUUAAAGUAAUUGGCAGCCAGUGUUUGGUUUUGAAGCGCAGCACAAGUCGCGAUUCAAGGCUACACGCCCGCUUCCACAAGCCUUUUUUCACUUUUGACCUCGGAUCAGGUAGGGAUACCCGCUGAACUUAAGCAUAUCAAUAAGCGGAGGA
rnacentral:misc_RNA from 1 species